rnacentral:rRNA from 1 species
UACCAGCACCCCCGAGUGUCGGACGAUUAUUGGGCCUAAAGCAUCCGUAGCCGGUCUUGCAAGUCUUCCGUUAAAUCCACCUGCUUAACAGAUGGGCUGCGGAGGAUACUACAAGGCUAGGAGGCGGGAGAGGCAAGCGGUACUCAGUGGGUAGGGGUAAAAUCCUCUGAUCCAUUGAAGACCACCAGUGGCGAAGGCGGCUUGCCAGAACGCGCUCGACGGUGAGGGAUGAAAGCUGGGGGAGC